rnacentral:rRNA from 1 species
CCUACGGGAGGCAGCAGUGGGGAAUAUUGGGCAAUGGAGGCAACUCUGACCCAGCAACGCCGCGUGAAUGAUGAAGGUCUUCGGAUUGUAAAGUUCUGUGAUGGGGGAUGAACACAAUGACGGUACCCGAAUAGCAAGACACGGCUAACUAAGUGCCAGCAGCCGCGGUAAUAAGUAGGUGGCAAGCGUUAUCCGGAAUGCCUGGGCGUAAAGGGUUCGUAGGUGGUUUAGAAAGUGUGGGGUGUAAUUCCGGGGCUCAACCUCGGCGCUACCGCCAAAACUAUUAGACGUGAUUGCAGGAGAGGUGAGUGGAAUUCCUAGUGUAGCGGGGAAUGCGUAGAUAUUAGGAGGAACAUCAGGGGCGAAGGCGACUUACUGGACUGUAACUGACACUGAGGCACGAAAGCGUGGGGAGCAAACAGGAUUAGAUACCCUUGUAGUC